UGUCAUUCUGAAGACGUUGACUCCAUGUCUCAACUCCAAAGAUGGGACUCUAGCCUUGGGCUAAGGUAAACUGAGCAGUACAUUUCAUCCCCCAACUCACACCUAAUCAUAAUUAUUGCUUCAAGAUGGAGGAAUGACCUAGGAUGGUCCAGUUGGAAAGAUUUCAGGACUCUUUCUGGCUAUGCUGGGCAAAGGCAAAUUCUCUUGUUUAGAGAUUCCAAAACCACUUUUGUUCAUUUUUGACCACAUAUAAAAACUGGGUGUCACCUUCAGAGCAGUGUGUACUACAUGGCAAGAACUGGACAAUUCCUUUUCUAAAGGAGGAAUUGUGAUCAAGAGGAAAUAAGCUUGCUUUGUACAGCGAGACUGAAGAUUCUGAAUUAGAACUUCAAUGGUGGCUACAUAGAGCGGCUGGAUUCAUCUGCAUUGAAACCCCUUGAGAAUUUUUAUAGGUUGAACCAAAACAGAAUAAUGAAAUGAACCCUCCUAGGCAGGAAUGCAGAAGCAGACAUGAAAGAUGAUUUCUCUGAAUUAUUUGGCCUUUAUAGAAAGAACCAUGAUGAGUUUCUAGAAAAUGCAUUAUUGAUGUGAUGUAAUAAGGUGAGCUUUCUUUUUUUUUUUUUCUUUUUUCCUUUCAAAUAAUGUCUUAUUUUAUAUUAACCACGGUAUGAAACAUUGCCACUAAAGGUUGUUUUCGGCACAAGUGAAUUGUAUCUGAUUUUAUACCCUGCCUUUUCCAUCUAUCUUAAUAGCUCUUAUGUUUGUGAAUGAGGUUUUAUUCAUGUCAUUAUUCGAUUUCUAGUUCAGCAUGGAUUCAAUGGAUUCAAGAGAUGUUUCUUUCCCAAAUCAUACCCUUUGUUCCCUACAUCGAGUUUUCUGAUUUUUGGGUGGUUCCUGGUCAGUUCAUGCUUACGCCCAUAUUUCAUUUAUUUUCAUUUCCUUCUACAUAAAAAUAACACUCUUUAAUUGUGCUAUAGUUGAGAAAAUAGAUAUUUCAAAAUAAUUAAAUAUUUUGAUUUUAAAAGGGCAGCUUCUACUUAGUGUCUUGAAAAAUAUUGAAAUCCACAGCCCUGUUCUCUUAUUUUAUAUACAAAUCCCACAUACAUGCAAGAUUGUUACAGGAGCACCAAACAAACUCAAAAUCCAAAUAAAGGGAGAAUGGUUAACUAGGACUUGGUAUGAAAUUUGCAAAUUUAAAUUAUGCAAAUAUUAAUGUUCUUUCCAUUUGAGUCUUCUCACUGUCAUCCAAUAAUGAUUUAUUUCUUGUCUAUUUAACAUUCAGUUGGUUCUAACUUUAAAUGCAUACUGAGCAAAUGUCCAUUUUCUUCCUUUCUGCAACAGAACGUCUCUUGUGUGCCAGGCAUUGUGCUAGGCACAGUCUCCAUUCUCUUGGAGCUUGUAGUGUAGAAGGAAGAUAGAUGAAGUCACACUAAUGAAUGUAUAAGUACAAAUCAAGACGAGUGCCCUAAAGAAAAAAAGUGUGUUCACAGGAACUCCUCUGUGGUGCGUCAGUCAAGUGGCACACCCGCCAGACCUUUAAACUGUGGUCUCUGGUAAGUCUGCAGCAUUCCUGGGCUGCCUGUGAUUACACUGAAACAUUUUCCCUGCUAAACACUUGAGAUGAAAACCUUGCUAGACCUGACCUAGCCUGAAUUUUAAAAUUCAGUUAGAAAGUCUCCUGCUUCUACUGUUAACACUGCAACACAUUAUAUUUUCGGGUUUGAAAUGAGAA